GAGUUUGAUCCUGGCUCAGGAUGAACGCUGGCGGCGUGCCUAAUACAUGCAAGUCGAGCGAACAGACGAGGAGCUUGCUCCUUUGACGUUAGCGGCGGACGGGUGAGUAACACGUAGAUAACCUACCUAUAAGACUGGGAUAACUUCGGGAAACCGGAGCUAAUACCGGAUAACAUGUUGAACCGCAUGGUUCAACAGUGAAAGACGGUCUUGCUGUCACUUAUAGAUGGAUCCGCGCCGCAUUAGCUAGUUGGUAAGGUAACGGCUUACCAAGGCAACGAUGCGUAGCCGACCUGAGAGGGUGAUCGGCCACACUGGAACUGAGACACGGUCCAGACUCCUACGGGAGGCAGCAGUAGGGAAUCUUCCGCAAUGGGCGAAAGCCUGACGGAGCAACGCCGCGUGAGUGAAGAAGGUCUUCGGAUCGUAAAACUCUGUUAUUAGGGAAGAACAAAUGUGUAAGUAACUAUGCACGUCUCGACGGUACCUAAUCAGAAAGCCACGGCUAACUACGUGCCAGCAGCCGCGGUAAUACGUAGGUGGCAAGCGUUAUCCGGAAUUAUUGGGCGUAAAGCGCGCGUAGGCGGUUUUUUAAGUCUGAUGUGAAAGCCCACGGCUCAACCGUGGAGGGUCAUUGGAAACUGGAAAACUUGAGUGCAGAAGAGGAAAGUGGAAUUCCAUGUGUAGCGGUGAAAUGCGCAGAGAUAUGGAGGAACACCAGUGGCGAAGGCGACUUUCUGGUCUGUAACUGACGCUGAUGUGCGAAAGCGUGGGGAUCAAACAGGAUUAGAUACCC
rnacentral:rRNA from 1 species